AUGUCCACGAAAGCGGAGUCCAGGGUGUCCAGCUCCAGUUCCAGCUCCAGAACCGAUGAAAGGAAGAGAUCGAGCAGUACAGGUCGAGAAAAAACGAAACGGAAACGCAGUCGCAGUAGGUCUUCCUCGUCGUCCUCUUCUAGGUCAUCAUCAUCAUCUUCGUCCUCGUCGUCCUCUUCUUCGUCGGGCUCGUCAAACUCAUCCAGCAACAGUCGGAGUAGCUCUAGCAGUAGCGACUCUCACAGUAAAUCCAGAAAGCAGUCUAAGAAAAGGAAAAAGGAGAAACCCAAAAAACAGAAAGUUAAGAAGGAAAAACGACACAAACGUAAAAAGGACAAGAAAGCAAAAGGAGGAGAGGAAAACACGGGACCUGUACAAAUCUCCAAGUACUUGAAGGACAAGAAGAAGGGCAAGUACAGCAUGAUUUCAGGGAAGAAGAUAAAAAUGAAAGUAAAGAAGUCGAAAAAAGACAAACAGCGAGAUAAAAAUCGAGCAGAACUUCUUGAGUUCUUGAACUCCACCCUGUGA
ensembl:lncRNA